GUUGAAUCUACUAUAGCUGUUCACAGUAGUUAUUUAAGGUGCAGUCUGUCACCACCUGCUUACUAUAUACAAAAGAUGAGAAGAAAGCAUAUUUUCCAAAAGCCUUAAAAUUGCAGUGAUCAUCUAUUAGCGAUAGGUAAAUUGUUUCUCCUUCCUGAUGAGGAAUUUUGCUUCAAUGAAUGUGAUCAAAAGGUUGCAUCAGGUGGCAAAUGUCAAUGUUUAAUAUUUUUUCAGAACUUUGGAUCCCAUGGGAAAGGUGCAAUGAAAUUAUGACAAAAAAGGAGACUGGAAAAGAAGGAUAUAUAAGUCUGUGGGACUUGAACAGUUGCACAGUAACAUCUGGUUUUACCACUGACAACAAAAAGUCUUACCUAACUAGCGCUGGAUAGAAAAGCAAUUUUUGUGUGUUUGAGUGACAGCCCUGCUUGUCAUCUUGAGAGGAUCAGAUGCAAACCCAACUGUCCAUUCCACUGAAAAAUGACUCUUUUGGAAAAGUGUCCACUAGCAGCUAGGAAGAACCUGAAGAAAACUAAACUGUCCGAUGAUGAAAGACACAAGUUGCAUCUUGGAUCUGUUAAAGACUGCUAUUCAGAGAUGUAAUAGUUCACUGUGCCCAAGGAAAAGCUAUGCAUUGUGAAUAGGAUUCAGAGCCAUGAUGGUCAAAGAACCUGCUUAAAGUAGCUCAAAAGAACUUUCAAGAGGUGAGGUGAAAAAGUAGUGAGUAUCUUCAAGAACAGAUGCUUUACUCUGAAUUGCAGGGAAAUAAACAUGUUUGUUCAAGGUUUUCAACCGUUCUUGAAUUAGCCUAUAGGAAACUCUCACAAAAUAGCAAGCCCCACUACUUUCCUAAUGUCACCUGACUGGUCUAGUGCAGACCUUCCCAACAUACAUCUCAGUUAAUUUGUCUGGUCUGUGGCAUUCCACAGGCCAAACCAUGUUUGGCCUGCCUCAGUCUCCUCUGCAGAAACUAGCCAGGGUUGCUAGUCCUGACAGAGGAAGAUAUGCUACCUCUAAGCUGUAGCAUAAACAAGUUGCUUUCUCGUUGCCCAGAGUACAUUUCUUUACCGAGACUCACUGAGUCGAUACGCUGCAGGACUAAUGCAUCUGUCAUUUGAGUUUAAAGCAGGCUUCAGCAAGUAAUAGCUACCAAGAUAGUAUUAGCUUUGAAAUAAACAACAGAAGAACUUCAGACAUAUUUCUGGAUGUGAUAAAGUAUCUCCGUGAUUUGCAGGGGCUUUUAUCAUUGCUGUUAGACUCAGAUAUGUAUGGGGGAAAAAAAGGUUUAAAUCAGAUUGCAGCAUUUAAAGCAAGUUGGGUUUGUAUGAAACCUGAGGUAUUUUUUCCGUCUGAGGUGCCAAUGUCAAAGACUUCCAGAGUUACUGGAGAUAAGACCUCUUAAUAAAAGAUGUAUGCAGAUAAGAGGGAGAAAGAACUCCAAGCCCUUAAAUUGCUGGUAUAGCAAUUGGUGCAGUUUUGUCCCAAUAGACUGCUUGGGUUUUAGGGGAGACCAAGUAGGGUACAGUUCAGUCCAGCAGAGCCUAAACAAUAAAAACACAGAUUAAGACUUAAUGGUACAAGCCACAGAAAUGCCCAAGUGCUCAUUUUUACGUCUGAAUUAACACAAACUGUAGUAGUUUCUGUCAAGCUGAAGUUAGAGAUUUUUAAAGUCUUCAAAGUUGGGAAAUGCCAUCUUGCUUACAAAGGCCCACUUCAGCUCCACAAGAACAUCCAAAAUGGAAAAUCCUUAGAUUUUGGGAAGAAUGGGGCAUUUCACUUACCACCAUUCUGUAUCAGUUCCAAGACUUGACAGUACCACGAUAUCAUUUCUAGAUGUGUAGAUUAGUGAAAUACAGUUUAAGGAAGUUUAAAAAUGGAGGUAUUAUCACUGUGCUUUUUAGCAAUCAACAGGUAUGAACGUAUAACAGCACACAGAAGACUACACUUGAAUAAUUUGCACCUAUCAUGGCUGGUAAUGAACCGUAUUUGGAUUCAGGCAGCUUACACAAUAAAGUCAUACACAGCAACUGGAGAAAACCUGUAUUAAUCUUGUGUACUAUUCCAGGCCUGCCAGAAUUCCAGAGUCCAAAAAAAAUACAGUAACUGCUGGAGACAGCAAGAUGGCCUUAUAGGCAGCAAGUAUAUCAUAUUGCUCACUUUGCUUUCAAAGCAGUACGCUUUCCAUUACAUGUAUUUUCUGUUUUGAAGUUUGGUUUGAUUAUUAUUUUGUCAAGAUUAAUCAAACUGGUCCAUGGGAUGGUGAGAUCAAGAAACACUCUUGUUCUCCUGCCAUUCCUUUUAAAUAGACCUUUUGCUGCUGAUGAACUUGUAUUACUUCAAAACUGAAAGGCAAAAAUCAAGAACUUAGAAGUGCACCAUGUUUUCGUGAGCUUCAAGAAAACAAGAUGUAACCUAUGCUGAAUUAGGAUGUAGCAUGUACAAAAAGCAGUUUACUGUGUAGUUACAUAUGCUAUUGUCAACUUCAAAAGUGUAUGUUGCCCAGAUUUUUGUUUUUGCAAGAACCUAGACUUACUUCAUGACAGUCAAUACGUAUCUCAAAGAUAAACUGGCUUAACAGCAUUUACUUUUCAUUUUCACUUCGCUAGUGAGGUUCACCCUUUAAGAAACUCAACAUUAAGAAGCAACAUAAGCGUUCUCUACUUACCUUCCAAAUUUCAUACUAGCAUCUUAAGUGCUUCUUCAGCAAUUACCAUUGACCUUUUAUGAAAACAGAUGCAAAACCACAAAAUCUGGGUUUGGUUAAAAAAGGUGGCGAAAUGCUAAAUGCCAGAUAACAUCACAUCUUGUCUCAUGUAAUUUUUUAACGACAAAUUAGCCAGAGUAUUUAAAAGAGAUUAUUUUAGAUACACCCAUGCGUACUUGAGGCACAUUGCUAUCUGCUUAUGAACUGAAUUAUUUCUGCUUUUGAGCAAUGUCAUGCAUUCGGCAAGCAAGUGCCGUUUCCCCGGUAAUAUCUUCACUGGGAACCCUGAGAAUUCAUAUUCCCUACUAGAAGAGACAUUAGCAUAAAAGAAGCAUCCCUGCAUUAGAAAGAUUUAUCUGGACCACUUUCAGAAUCUAAAAUUUUCUUUCUGCAACAGAACAACGUACACUUCCUACUUUAGCAAUUAUUCCAGAUGAACAAUUAUGUAAGGCUCCCAGCUUUCUCCUCUGCCUUGGAAGAAAGUGAUCGUGAUUUAGCCACUAGAAAUUCAAGCAAUACAUUCAAGAUAUAUUAGUAUAAUGUUAAUAGUUACUACUCCACUUAUAUUUUGCUCUGCAACUUCAGCAUUUACUUAAGCGACUCUUGUAUUUUAACACUAGGGAGAAUCACCAUCUUAGGUAGGCAUUAGAUGUUGAUACAAUCCCCAGCCCAAGGCUGCUGACCAGUCUUUCCAAGAAGGAAAUUUAAGAAUCAUUAAGCCAUAACCAAAAGAAAAAGGACUAAAAUGUGGAGAGGACAACUUACAACACUUGUCUUCAGCAGCUGGCAUGAUCAUUCUCCAUCAGUAGCCGUGAUCCAGGCCCCUCCGGAGCCUAUCUUUGCUACCUCAGAUUAGCCUCUAGGCCUGGAAAGCAAGAUAAGGCCUUGGGAUAAGCUUUACCUUCUUUCCUACCCUGCUGGUGGUUGGAGCGCAUACAUUAGUUUACCAUGGUAAAGGUCUCCCCAGUGGAACUAGCCCACUUCAUAAAACUACAAUUUUAGAGCAAAAAUUCAAAACACUGGCUUUACGCUCCCCUGCCAUAUGUUAACUAGUGUUACUUGCAAAUGCUAAAUCCUGUUAAGGAAUCAGAUCAUAACUGUGGAAACAGGCUCAGUAUUUUACAUAGCUUGUAAUAUUUAGAGUCCUGCACAUUGAUUCAUACCAUCUGGCCCAACAGCACAGAGACUUUCUUUAUGCCAAGCGCAGUACAUCCAGGCCCGGCC
rnacentral:lncRNA from 1 species